rnacentral:lncRNA from 1 species
UAAAGUCCUCGUCCUAGUCUAGCGCCCCUGUUUUUCUUCUUUUCAUCACUCUCAGUGACAGCCAUUCUCCCUUAUUACUACUGCCUGCUUUUUCCCUGAAAGAAGCUCAUACGAACUGACUGAUUUCUUAUUCUUGUGCACUAUCCUCUACACACACUCUGGUUGCUGCCACACGUGAGUGCCAUCACAGUUGAAUAAUGUGCCUCACAUGUAUUGAAUGACUCCACGUGAAUCAGUGCUAUACCUUUUCCUUUUUGAUAUCUCCUUUUGUUGGAAGGAAACUCAUUCCCUGUUUCAAUACAGAAGCCUUGCUCACGCCACUGAAAUAUAUAGCAUAUUUAUGCAAAUAUGUAGAAAAUAUGGAAACAGUUGACAAUAGAGAUAUUCAAUGCAUAUUUGUCAGUUGGAUAAACAUGGAACGUUCUGCUAGAUGCAUGCUGGAUGAUUGUUGCUUAUACGAAGGAAUCCGAAGUACAGAUUAAAAAUUGGCUGGAUCACUUAAAUGACAAACAACUCCAUCACUCAAGUGUUCCCAACCAACAGGGCCUGUGGGGACAUUGCUGCAAUCAAAGACCAUUUUUUCAGAUCUACUUUCCUACUUUGUUAUUUUCAUUCUCUUCGGGCAGUCAGCAGGAAACUGAACACCACAGUCUAACCAGUACAUUUUAAGACAGAGAUCUACGAGGUAAAAUAGGAGAAACAUAAUUAAAAAAAAAAAAAAAAGAUGAGAAGUUUGUUGAAGCACAGGAGUAUCUUUGAGAUUUAAGUAAUUAAUCAUAUUGUUAAAAUUGGAUUCUUAAUUGAUUUUUGUUAAAAUAAGUAGAUUGGAUCCCACAGGGCUAUUUUUUAACACAUUGGUUCAAACUGAUAUGAGUAAGGUCGUGGCUUAUAUAAGAAAAACGUGAUUUGAUGAAAAAAUUACUUAUAACAUCUAAAGUUUAUCUUAUUCCAUGCACAAAAUAAAAAUAAAACAAACGUAAUGUAACUCAA